ACUUCAAUACACAAUUGC
rnacentral:snRNA from 1 species